rnacentral:tRNA from 1 species
GGGGAGAUUCCAGAGUGGUCAAAUGGGGCAGACUGUAAAUCUGCUGACUUACGUCUACGCAGGUUCAAAUCCUGCUCUCCCCA